CCCUACAGGCCACUCUUCCUCUCUAGUCAUAGUUACUCCCGCCAUUUACCCGCGCUUCAUUGAAUUUCUUCACUUUGAAAUUCAGAGCACUGGGCAGAAAUCACAUCGUGUCAACACCCGCAGUGGGCCUUCGCGAUGCUUUGUU